AGUGAACGCUGGCGGUAGGCCUAACACAUGCAAGUCGAACGGCAGCACAGUAAGAGCUUGCUCUUACGGGUGGCGAGUGGCGGACGGGUGAGGAAUACAUCGGAAUCUACUUUUUCGUGGGGGAUAACGUAGGGAAACUUACGCUAAUACCGCACACGACCUACGGGUGAAAGCAGGGGAUCUUCGGACCUUGCGCGAUUGAAUGAGCCGAUGUCGGAUUAGCUAGUUGGCGGGGUAAAGGCCCACCAAGGCGACGAUCCGUAGCUGGUCUGAGAGGAUGAUCAGCCACACUGGAACUGAGACACGGUCCAGACUCCUACGGGAGGCAGCAGUGGGGAAUAUUGGACAAUGGGGGCAAGCCUGAUCCAGCCAUACCGCGUGGGUGAAGAAGGCCUUCGGGUUGUAAAGCCCUUUUGUUGGGAAAGAAAAGCAGCAGGUUAAUACCCCGCUGUUCUGACGGUACCCAAAGAAUAAGCACCGGCUAACUUCGUG
rnacentral:rRNA from 1 species